AAGUCGUAACAAGGUUUCCGUAGGUGAACCUGCGGAAGGAUCAUUAGCGAGACACGGUCCUUUUAGGGCCGACUCCAAACCCCAAUCUACCAACCUCUGUUGCCUCGGCGGGCCGUCGGCGCUUCGGCGCCGCCGUCGGCCCCUACGCUUUCGAGCGCCCGCCGGAGAAACCCCUAAAACCCUUCAAAAACGAGCAAAUCUGAAAAAUAAUCAAUAUUUAAAAAACUUUCAACAACGGAUCUCUUGGUUCUG
rnacentral:misc_RNA from 1 species